rnacentral:tRNA from 1 species
GCCUUUUUAGUAAAAAAAAUACAAAUGAUUUCCAAUCAUUUAAUCUUAGUAAAAAUCUGGGAAAGGGCA